UACGGAGGGAGCAAGCGUUACUCGGAAUUAUUGGGCGUAAAGGGCGCGUAGGUGGCUAAACAAGUCACCUGUGAAAGCCCCCGGCUUAACUGGGGAAGUGCAGGUGAAACUGUUUGGAUUGAGUUCCGGAGAGGAAGACAGAAUUCCCGGUGUAGCGGUGAAAUGCGUAGAGAUCGGGAGGAAUACCAGUGGCGAAGGCGGUCUUCUGGACGGAUACUGACGCUGAGGCGCGAAAGCCAGGGGAGCAAAC
rnacentral:rRNA from 1 species